rnacentral:rRNA from 1 species
UACGUAGGUGGCGAGCGUUGUCCGGAAUUACUGGGUGUAAAGGGCGCGUAGGCGGGUGCUUAAGUCAGACGUGAAAUACCGAGGCUCAACUUCGGGGCUGCGUCUGAUACUGGGCAUCUUGAGUGUCGGAGAGGGAAGCGGAAUUCCUAGUGUAGCGGUGAAAUGCGUAGAUAUUAGGAGGAACACCAGUGGCGAAGGCGGCUUUCUGGACGAUAACUGACGCUGAGGCGCGAAAGCGUGGGGAGCAAACAGG